GCCCGGAUGGUCUAGUGGUAUGAUUCCUGCUUCGGGGACUAUGUGGCACAAACAAACUCCUCUCGUACAAUAGUAUGAGAUUGAAAUGCAGGAGGUCUCGGGUUCGAAUCCCGAUUCGGGCC